rnacentral:rRNA from 1 species
GUGGGGAAUCUUGCGCAAUGGGCGAAAGCCUGACGCAGCCAUGCCGCGUGAAUGAUGAAGGUCUUAGGAUUGUAAAAUUCUUUCACCGGGGACGAUAAUGACGGUACCCGGAGAAGAAGCUCCGGCUAACUUCGUGCCAGCAGCCGCGGUCAUACGAAGGGGGCUAGCGUUGCUCGGAAUUACUGGGCGUAAAGGGCGCGUAGGCGGACAGCUUAGUCAGAGGUGAAAGCCCAGGGCUCAACCUUGGAAUUGCCUUUGAUACUGGCUGUCUUGAGUUUGGGAGAGGUGAGUGGAACUCCGGGUGUAGAGGUGAAAUUCGUAGAUAUUCGGAAGAACACCAGUGGCGAAGGCGACUCACUGGCCCAAUACUGACGCUGAGGCGCGAAAGCGUGGGGAGCAAACAGGAUUAGAUACCCGUGUAGUCC